AUUAUUGUCGAUUAUUUGUCUGAAUAGGCCUAUCUCACAACUUCCUGGUUCGGCGUUCGAUUUUGCCUUCACCGGGUAAAGUGACUUCCGGUCGCGUAGUCCAUGAUAUUUGACAAUGGCGCGGUCAAAAAACAAAAGCUUCUGUUGUGUACCUCUAUGCGCCAAUUCAAAACAAAAACAACCGUAUUUACAUGUCCACGACUUCCCAAAUAAUACCCAAUACAGCAGUGGCGAUCAGACGGAAUGAAGGAGUUAAUUUCGUAAUUCAGAAGGGGAGUACACUGGUCUGUAGUCGGCAUUUCUCAGCGGCUGAUUAUGACGACGGGAGUGCUACGCUGAAUACUGGAGCUGUUCCUAGUCGUUUUGACUGGAACAGCUACACCACAGCCCCGAAAAAAACACCCGUGUAUAAACGGGUGUCAGCUCGAAAAGCUGAAGGAGAGGACAAAACACGAACGGACCUGAGAGGUACCGGGGAACAUGACUACGCGACACGCCCCCCUGCCGGUGCACUGGAUGAUGCCCUGGAGUAUAUUGCUGAGCUGGAGGCAAGGCUGCAAGAAAUGUCCAUGGGGCCACAAACUGUCCUCAACAGGUUUUGUGUGUCUGAUCAGACCAUGACAUAUUAUACUCGGUUUCCAUCUCAAGAAGUGUUUCAAGUGUUUUGGGAGUCUGUUUUGCCCCUCAACACAAUAUAUUCUUCAUUGGAGCAAAGCACAGAGGAUUGGACAAGAGGCGAUUCCAACACCACGCCCUUCAAGGAAGAUUCCAGUCAUUGAUGAGUUUUCAUCUACUGUUGUAGAGUAGCAACUGGCCUUAAAGAACAGGUCAUUGCUGACAUCUUCCAGGUCAGCACAGCUGAGAUGGUACCAACUCCAAGCUGGAUAUUCCCUCUAAGAUGUGGGACAUUAAAGGGCGAAACGUCAAAUAAAAA